rnacentral:rRNA from 1 species
AGUGAACGCUGGCGGUAGGCCUAACACAUGCAAGUCGAACGGCAGCACAGUAAGAGCUUGCUCUUACGGGUGGCGAGUGGCGGACGGGUGAGGAAUACAUCAGAAUCUACUUUUUCGUGGGGGAUAACGUAGGGAAACUUACGCUAAUACCGCAUACGACCUACGGGUGAAAGCAGGGGAUCUUCGGACCUUGCGCGAUUGAAUGAGCCGAUGUCGGAUUAGCUAGUUGGCGGGGUAAAGGCCCACCAAGGCGACGAUCCGUAGCUGGUCCGAGAGGAUGCUCAGCCACACUGGAACUGGGACACGGUCCAGACUCCUACGGGAGGCAGCAGUGGGGAAUAUUGGACAAUGGGCGCAAGCCUGAUCCAGCCAUACCGCGUGGGUGAAGAAGGCCUUCGGGUUGUAAAGCCCUUUUGUUGGGAAAGAAAAGCAGCAGGUUAAUACCCCGCUGUUCUGACGGUACCCAAAGAAUAAGCACCGGCUAACUUCGUG